CAGAUCAAGAUUGGAAUAUUGUCAAGGCAGUUGCCACCAAUCAUGCGAAUUAUAGGUGGAAUCAAAACCAGCACUUGCUACUCGGUUAAAGCUUGACACUU